UAAAACGUAGGAGGCAAGCGUUAUCCGGAUUUACUGGGCGUAAAGCGCGUGUAGGCGGUUUGGUAAGUCGGACGUGAAAUCUCCCGGCUCAACUGGGAGAGGCCGUUCGAGACUGUCAGACUAGAGGGCAGUAGAGGGAGGUGGAAUUCUGGGUGUAGCGGUGAAAUGCGUAGAUAUCCAGAGGAACACCAGUGGCGAAGGCGGCCUCCUGGGCUGUCCCUGACGCUCAGACGCGAAAGCUAGGGGAGCAAACGGGAUUAGAAACCCCGGUAGUCCUAGCCGUAAACGAUGCAGACUUGGUGUUGGUGGUGUAAAAACCAUCAGUGCCGGAGCUAACGCGGUAAGUCUGCCGCCUGGGGACUACGGUCGCAAGGCUA
rnacentral:rRNA from 1 species